rnacentral:rRNA from 1 species
GCUGAAUGUACGGUAAGAAUAAGGAUCGGCUAACUCCGUGCCAGCAGCCGCGGUAAUACGGAGGAUCCAAGCGUUAUCCGGAUUUAUUGGGUUUAAAGGGUGCGUAGGCGGUUCUUUAAGUCAGGGGUGAAAGACGGUAGCUUAACUAUCGCAGUGCCUUUGAUACUGAAGAACUUGAAUACACUUGAGGUAGGCGGAAUGUGACAAGUAGCGGUGAAAUGCAUAGAUAUGUCACAGAACACCAAUUGCGAAGGCAGCUUACUAAAGUGUCAUUGACGCUGAGGCACGAAAGCGUGGGGAUCAAACAGGAUUAGAUACCCUGGUAGUCCACGCCCUAAACGAUGAAUACUCGAUGUUGGCGAUAUACGGUCAGCGUCUAAGCGAAAGCGUUAAGUAUUCCACCUGGGGAGUACGCCCGCAAGGGUGAAACUCAAAGGAAUUGACGGGGGCCCGCACAAGCGGAGGAGCAUGUGGUUUAAUUCGAUGAUACGCGAGGAACCUUACCCGGGCUUGAAAGUUAGUGAAUGAUUCAGAGACGAAUCAGUCCUUCGGGACACGAAACUAGGUGCUGCAUGGCUGUCGUCAGCUCGUGCCGUGAGGUGUUGGGUUAAGUCCCGCAACGAGCGCAACCCCUAUGUUUAGUUGCCAGCAUGUAAUGAUGGGGACUCUAAACAGACUGCCUAUGCAAAUAGAGAGGAAGGAGGGGACGACGUCAAGUCAUCAUGGCCCUUACGUCCGGGGCUACACACGUGCUACAAUGGAUGGUACAGCGGGCAGCUACCUGGCAACAGGAUGCCAAUCUCGUAAAGCCAUUCACAGUUCGGAUCGGGGUCUGCAACUCGACCCCGUGAAGUUGGAUUCGCUAGUAAUCGCAUAUCAGCAAUGAUGCGGUGAAUACGUUCCCGGGCCUUGUACACACCGCCCGUCAAGCCAUGGAAGCUGGAAGUGCCUGAAGUGCGUAACCGUAAG